rnacentral:tRNA from 1 species
GCGGCAUAGCUCAGAGGCUAGAGCAACCGGUUCAUACCCGGUAGGUCGUGGGUUCAAAUCCAACUGCCG